CCCACUUCAGCAGCGAAAUGCCAGCCAGCACCUCUCCUCCCCCAUGCACUCUCCCACUAUUUGUGCCCUAUGGGUUGACCCCAUAGUUGUGCUAAUGCAACCUAUGAGAUUUUAAGAGAGUGUCCAUGUUGAAGCUACAUGAUCUGUAAGGAUCUCUUACUCUGGUAGAAACUUUACACAUCAAUAGUUACAUUGAGGUGUGUGAGGAUAGAGGAAUUUAUAUUUGUUUUGAAGGGGUUCUUUAACCCUUUGGAUCUCAACUAGCACUGGGGAAGAAAAUAACCCAGACAACUUCUUCACUGGGCUGAAACACACACUUUGCUUUGCUGAACUGGAUAUCCUCUUAUGAAGAGGUGUAGCGACUGACUGAGAACCCUGACUGAGAACCCUGACUGAGAACCCUGACUGAGAACCAGCCAUUCAGAAACGAGAGAGAUCCAAUGAGGAAAGAUGAUUGUCCGAUCUGUCCGACAUCUGUGCAAUCACAUAGCAAAUGCUUUAAGAAAACAGUACUUCAUGUUUUUACCAUCCUACCUUUCACUGAAGCCAUACCUUGGCCACCUGAAGUGGUUUCUGGUGCUCCGCGCCCCCCUGGAGACGAAAGCCCCAUGGUGCUCCACCAGACAAG